rnacentral:rRNA from 1 species
AAAUAAGUAUUAAUAAAAAAAUUUUUAAAUUUAUUAAGUAUUUUAAUGGGGGUUAAAGUAUUUUAAUAGAAAAAAUUUAAAUUUUUAUAGUUAAUUAGUAUUGUGAGAGAAAUUUGAAAUAAUUAUAAAAUAUAAAUUUAUUAAAAAGUAAUUUUUAUUUAGUGUAUCUUGUGUAUCAGAGUUUAUUAAAAAUUUAUUUUGGUUAAAAUUUUCUCGAAUUUAAAAGAGCGAAUUAAAUAUAAAAGUUAUUGUAGUAAAAAUAUUUUUAAUAUUUAAUUUGAAAUGAAAUGUUAUUCGUUUUUAAAUAUAUCUAGUUUUUUUAGAAAAAAAUUUAAUUUUAAAUUGAUUUUUAAACAUUUAUAUUUUAUUAAUAAAUUUUUAAGAUUAAUUUUAUAUUUUAAGGGAUAAGCUUUAAAUUAAAUUAAUAUAAUAUUUAAUUUAAUAUUGAAAAUUGUAUAAUUUAUAUUGUUAAAAAAUUUUAUUUUAUUAUAAAUAAUUUCAAUUAAUAUAAAAUUUAAUUAAAAUUUAUUAUUUUAUAAGAAAAAUAUAUUUAAUAAUAUAAUUUAAGUUAUAAUGAUAAAAUUAGUAUAAAUUUUUAUUAAUAUUAUUAAAUUUAAUUUAAGGUAUUUUAAAGGAAUUCGGCAAAAUUUUAUAUUCACUUGUUUAUCAAAAACAUGUCUUUUUGAAAAUAAUUUAAAGUCUAAUCUGCCCACUGAUUAAUAAUUAAAGGGCUGCAGUAUUUUGACUGUACAAAGGUAGCAUAAUCAUUAGUCAUUUAAUUGAUGACUUGUAUGAAAGAUUGGAUGAAAUAUGAACUGUCUUUAAAUUAAAUAUAGAAUUUAAUUUUUAAGUUAAAAAGCUUAAAUAAUUUAAAAAGACGAGAAGACCCUAUAGAGUUUUAUUAUUUAUUUAAAUUAAUAUUUUUAUAAUUAGUUGUAUUUAUGUUAAUUUUUAAUAAAUAAUUUUAUUGGGGUGAUAAAAAAAUUUAAUUAACUUUUUUUAAUUUAAAAACAUAAAUAAGUGAAUAUUUGAUCCAUAUUUUAUGAUUAUAAGAAAAAAUUACCUUAGGGAUAACAGCGUAAUUUUAUUUUUUAGUUCAAAUAAGAAAUAGAGUUUGCGACCUCGAUGUUGGAUUAAGAUAAAAUUUAAAUGCAGAAGUUUAAAAGUUUUGAUCUGUUCGAUCAUUAAAAUCUUACAUGAUCUGAGUUCAAACCGGUGUAAGCCAGGUUGGUUUCUAUCUUUUAAAAAUAAAAAUAUUUUAGUACGAAAGGAUUAAAUAUUURAAUUAUAUUUUUUAAUUUGAAUUUUAUUAAAUAUAUAUAUAUAUAUAUAUAYAUAAAAAAAAUUAUUAUGGAUUU